AGUGAACGCUGGCGGUAGGCCUAACACAUGCAAGUCGAACGGCAGCACAGUAAGAGCUUGCUCUUACGGGUGGCGAGUGGCGGACGGGUGAGGAAUACAUCGGAAUCUACUUUUUCGUGGGGGAUAACGUAGGGAAACUUACGCUAAUACCGCAUACGACCUACGGGUGAAAGCAGGGGAUCUUCGGACCUUGCGCGAUUGAAUGAGCCGAUGUCGGAUUAGCUAGUUGGCGGGGUAAAGGCCCACCAAGGCGACGAUCCGUAGCUGGUCUGAGAGGAUGAUCAGGCACACUGGAACUGAGACACGGUCCAGAAUCCUACGGGAGGCAGCAGUGGGGAAUAUUGGACAAUGGGCGCAAGCCUGAUCCAGCCAUACCGCGUGGGUGAAGAAGGCCUUCGGGUUGUAAAGCCCUUUUGUUGGGAAAGAAAAGCAGCAGGUUAAUACCCCGCUGUUCUGACGGUACCCAAAGAAUAAGCACCGGCUAACUUCGUG
rnacentral:rRNA from 1 species